GUGCCAGCCGCCGCGGUAAUACGAAGGGGGCUAGCGUUGCUCGGAAUUACUGGGCGUAAAGGGAGCGUAGGCGGACAUUUAAGUCAGAGGUGAAAUCCCGGAGCUUAACUUCGGAACUGCCUUUGAUACUGGGUGUCUUGAGUGUGAGAGAGGUAUGUGGAACUCCGAGUGUAGAGGUGAAAUUCGUAGAUAUUCGGAAGAACACCAGUGGCGAAGGCGACAUACUGGCUCAUUACUGACGCUGAGGCUCGAAAGCGUGGGGAGCAAACAGGAUUAGA
rnacentral:rRNA from 1 species